rnacentral:rRNA from 1 species
CCUACGGGUGGCAGCAGUGAGGAAUAUUGGUCAAUGGGCGGAAGCCUGAACCAGCCACGCCGCGUGAGGGAAGAAGGUACAGCGUACCGUAAACCUCUUUUGCAGGGGAAAAAAGGCGGGGACUAGUCCCCGACUCAGGGUCCCUGAAGGAAACGCCUCCGUGAACCCCGUGACAGACGCCGCGGUUAUCCGGAGGGUGCGCGGGUUAUCGGGAUUUAUGGGGGUUAAAGGGGGGGCGGGGGGCCUGUUCAGUCAGCGGGAAAAGCCCGGGGCUAAACCCCGGCGCGCCGUGGAAACUGGCGAGCUGGAGUUGGAGAGAAGUACGCGGAAUGCGCGGUGUAGCGGUGAAAUGCGUAGAUAUCAGGCGGAACCCCGGUUGCGAAGGCAGCUUACCGGCUCCACACUGACGCUGAGGCACGAAAGCGUGGGGAGCGAACAGGAUUAGAUACCCGAGUAGUC